GAUGAACGCUGGCGGCGUGCCUAAUACAUGCAAGUCGAGCGAACAGAUGAGGAGCUUGCUCCUCUGACGUUAGCGGCGGACGGGUGAGUAACACGUGGAUAACCUACCUAUAAGACUGGGAUAACUUCGGGAAACCGGAGCUAAUACCGGAUAAUAUAUUGAACCGCAUGGUUCAAUAGUGAAAGACGGUUUUGCUGUCACUUAUAGAUGGAUCCGCGCCGCAUUAGCUAGUUGGUCAGGUAACGGCUUACCAAGGCAACGAUGCGUAGCCGACCGGAGAGGGGGAUCGGCCACACGGGAACUGAGACACGGUCCAGACUACUACGGGAGGCAGCAGUAGGGAAUCUUCCGCAAUGGGCGAAAGCCUGACGGAGCAACGCCGCGUGAGUGAUGAAGGUCUUCGGAUCGUAAAACUCUGUUAUUAGGGAAGAACAAAUGUGUAAGUAACUAUGCACGUCUUGACGGUACCUAAUCAGAAAGCCACGGCUAACUACGUG
rnacentral:rRNA from 1 species